AUUGAACGCUGGCGGAAUGCUUUACACAUGCAAGUCGAACGGCAGCACGGGGGCAGCCCUGGUGGCGAGUGGCGAACGGGUGAGUAAUACAUCGGAACGUGCCCGGUCGUGGGGGAUAACGUAGCGAAAGUUACGCUAAUACCGCAUACGAUCUGAGGAUGAAAGCGGGGGACCUUCGGGCCUCGCGCGAUCGGAGCGGCCGAUGUCAGAUUAGGUAGUUGGUGGGGUAAAGGCCUACCAAGCCGACGAUCUGUAGCUGGUCUGAGAGGACGACCAGCCACACUGGGACUGGGACACGGCCCAGACUCCUACGGGAGGCAGCAGUGGGGAAUUUUGGACAAUGGGCGCAAGCCUGAUCCAGCCAUUCCGCGUGCAGGACGAAGGCCUUCGGGUUGUAAACUGCUUUUGUACGGAACGAAAAGGCUCUGGCUAAUACCUGGGGCUCAUGACGGUACCGGAAGAAUAAGCACCGGCUAACUACGUG
rnacentral:rRNA from 1 species